rnacentral:rRNA from 1 species
AGCAGCCGCGGUAAUUCCAGCUCCAAUAGCGUAUAUUAAAGUUGUUGCAGUUAAAAAGCUCGUAGUUGAAUUUCGGGAUCAAUUAAUUGGUCGUGCCUCUGGUACGUACUGAUUUUAUUGGUUUCUCCCUUCUGACGAACCAUGAUGUCAUUAAUUUGGUGUCGUGGAGAAUCAGGACUGUUACUUUGAAAAAUUAGAGUGUUUAAAGCAAGCUAACGCUUGAAUACAUUAGCAUGGAAUAAUGAAAUAGGACGUUUGAUCCUAUUUUGUUGGUUUCUAGGAUCGACGUAAUGAUUAAUAGGGAUAGUUGGGGGCAUUAGUAUUCAAUUGUCAGAGGUGAAAUUCUUGGAUUUAUUGAAGACUAACUACUGCGAAAGCAUUUGCCAAGGAUGUUUUCAUUAAUCAAGAACGAAAGUUAGGGGAUCGAAGACGAUCAGAUACCGUCGUAGUCUUAACCAUAAACUAUGCCGACUAGGGAUCGGAUGAUGUUAAUUUUUAAUGUACUCAUUCGGCGCCUUAC